rnacentral:rRNA from 1 species
CCUACGGGGUGCUGCAGUGGGGAAUAUUGGACAAUGGGCGAAAGCCUGAUCCAGCCAUGCCGCGUGUGUGAAGAAGGCCUUCGGGUUGUAAAGCACUUUCAGUGGGGAAGAAAGCCUUGGGGCUAAUACCCUCGAGGAAGGACAUCACCCACAGAAGAAGCACCGGCUAACUCCGUGCCAGCAGCCGCGGUAAUACGGAGGGUGCGAGCGUUAAUCGGAAUUACUGGGCGUAAAGCGCGCGUAGGCGGUCUGAUAAGCCGGUUGUGAAAGCCCCGGGCUCAACCUGGGAACGGCAUCCGGAACUGUCAGGCUAGAGUGCAGGAGAGGAAGGUAGAAUUCCCGGUGUAGCGGUGCAAUGCGUAGAGAUCGGGAGGAAUACCAGUGGCGAAGGCGGCCUUCUGGACUGACACUGACGCUGAGGUGCGAAAGCGUGGGUAGCAAACAGGAUUAGAUACCCUAGUAGUC